UGCGUUCGUCGCAGCGAGCCGGCUCGUGGCCCAGUUCUGUCGUAUCUAAGCCGCGUUGCGCCACGCCGAUACGCCGUUGCAUAAUCGGCUGAACUAUUUCGAUAUGCCGUAUUGUAUUGUUAACUACGUACGAGGUGGAGAAUAUUAACUCGUGACAGAGAUGAGUGGAGGAAACAAAAGGUGACCUUUGCCGAAGCAGAACCUGACCAAUAAACUGGUUGCUGAAGAAUAUGUAGGCACAUUGUGAAUUGUUUCUAUACAAAUUAGAUUUAAAUAUAAUAUAUCUAGAUUAAAACUGCUAUAUUUGGCCAAUGAA